CAUCUGCAGCUCAUUCAGAGGCUUUGGGGCUGUACACACUGUAUUUUAAAUUAGUACAGCUGAUCUCACAGCUGCUGGAUGUUUCUUUGAAUCAUAAGAACAUUAAGACAAACAAGAUGAUCAUGAAAAUCAUAUUAACGAUUGAUUUGGCCUGAAUUUGAUGCUGAACUGCGGUAGCUCCUGAAUCCAUGCUUUUAUUUUUUGGGGUUAGUUUGCAGCGAUGCUGCAAAGUUUACAUAAAGCGCCAUAUUGCAUUUUUGCAGAGCAGACGACCCCCUAUGAGCAAGCACUUGGCAACAGUGGGAAGGAAAAACUCUUAGGCCCGUCAACUCUAUAAGCUCACCUGAGUCUGUGACUGUGAGGUUGAUGGAGUGUCUGAACUCCUUGAUGACUCUCUCACCAUAGAUGGUGUGAUUGGUUGUAAUCUUACAUUCAUAUAUUCCUGUAUCGCUGAUGCUGAUGUUCCUUAGAAUGAUGGAAACGUCUCCGUCCUUCGUGGAUGAGUCUCUCAGCUCCACUCGGCCUUUGAUGGACUCGUGCUGAUAGUUCUCAUCUGAGUGCUGGUUUUGGAAGAAGAACACAUAACCCUCUGACACGAGCUCGGGUCUGCUCCACUCUAAUGCUGUGAUAUCUGCAUCUGUGGGUCCCCGACACUGAAGAGUGACAUCUUGUCCAGACCUCACUUUGACAUCUGUGUGGUCUAAAGAGAAACUUCACUCUUUAGUAACUGUGCUCAGAUGAAGUGAUCAGAAGAGUUUCAGAACAGAUUUGGUGAGCAUUUUGAAUCAGAUCAAUAUUGCUGCAGUUUACUGCUCAAUAAUAUCAAUUUCUAUAUUUACAUGUGAGAAAAUCAAGUGUUUUUGCAUUUUGUAUCAUUUUUUGCAGUAACAGCAGAAGUAGGACGAUCCAAACUCACCCGAGGCCGUCACUGUGAGGUUGAUGAAGCACUUAAUGCCCCUGAACGGUCUCUCUGUGCUGUUUUUGUUCCUGAACACAAUCCGACACUUGUACGUGCCAUUAUCGUUGAUGGUGACGUUCUUCAGAAUCAAAGUGAGGUCUCCAUCCUUCAACUCCACUCGGUCUUCAAAGGACUCAGGCUGGUAUCUUUGAAACGAGUUACGAUAGAACAAAGAAUCGAGGCCGUGUCUGCUCCACUCCAGCAGGGUGAUGGCUGCAGCUCUGGGACACGCACAGUGAAAGGUGGCCUCUUGUCCAGGCUUCACUUUGAUUUCUGUGUGUCCUGCUGGAUCAGUGCCAAACAGCAAACAUCACUCCUGUUCAUGAAACACAAUGAAACACCAGAUUAUUAUCUGCACAAUCAUUUAAAGCAUUUGUUGAAAAUCUCUGACAGACCAGAACUGCUGAUCAGUUCAGAUCACCAGCAGUUUUCUACACUUUAGUGCAUAAUAGUGUUCAGUGCAGUACUGUGGUGAAGUUUGCAGUGAUGCAUUAUGUCAGGUUAAAAAAGUGUAGCAGCUGUCAGUUUAUAUUAACCGCGUGAUGGUGUUUAGUUUCACUAUCGGAGGCUAAUUUAAAUCUGACUGUGGUGGAAAAUCAGUGAUUACAGCUGUAAACAUCUGUUUGUAUCAUGUUGAAUUUCAGUCGUGUAAAAUCCACAAAGAGCAGUAAACCUCUGAGUGUGUCGCACAGUGUUUCAUACAUCUUGUGACAAACGGUGUCACUAAAUCAGCCUGUGCGGAUCAUUCCCUGUCAGACAGCAGAGGAAACAAAAUCAGCCUGAAUCAAGAAGCUGCUUUCAGCACAGAACAAAGAUGAGGUCACACAGCUCCAAAAAGUCAAGUUAUAGUUUUAAAAUAGCCAAUUUUUCCGGAAUUAAGAGAGUUUCCUUAACUUAUAGCACAAAAGUUAAAGGAGUGUCAUUUUACUGCAGUUAUAAACUCACACCUGGCAGCUAAAUUCACAAGAACACCCUGAAAAAAGAUGUCAUUUUCUGCUUUUCAACUAAAAGGCGUAAGAGACACAUGCGGGCCAGUGGCGCAAUGGAUAACGCGUCUGACUACGGAUCAGAAGAUUCUAGGUUCGACUCCUGGCUGGCUCGUACACAUUUAAGGGCAGCGAUAGCCGAUUUUUGUGUCGUGCGACCGUUUUGGUGAUCGGCCCAUGUUUGUCCUUCAUCGUGCGUCGUGCAUCGUGUAAUAUACGUGGGGUAACGAGAAGCGAUUAACACCUCACGACCUGCUCCCGAUCAUCAAUCGCUUGGUCGGGAGGAUUUCAAACCUGUUUGAAAUCCUCACGACCGUCGUGAGGGUGUCGCCGCAGCCGCUCACACUGCGCACGCGCAAACACAUAAAGUCAAUGAAAAAGACGGACAGCACAGAAGUGCAGGUGUGAUCUGGACACAAGCGAUGGAGGCACUUGUAGGACUUUGGAAAGCUCAUCCGAGCCUUUUCGAUGUGGCCUCACAAAAUUAUCACAAACACAACAACCGUGAAAAUAGUUGGAUCUACAUUGCUGCUCAAUCACAGCUGCCUGAUCAAUGUUUUUCAUUAGCAAUUUAGCAAAGUUGAUGGUGGUGGUGUGCGUGUCUGUGUGAGUGAAAGACAGAGAGGGAGAGCGAGCGACAGAUUUUCUGUUAUAACCUUCAUGUUAUGAACGCACAGUGUGAGCACUCAGGUCGUAUCAGAGCAUCGGGCCGUAUAGUGUGAGACGCUGCAUCGUGACCUACGAACUUCUAACCCCUGCGAGUCAAUCGUACAGUUUGAGCAGGAGUGUAAGCCCAGCAUUAGUGGCUGCCCACUGAUUCACUGAGUGAAUGGGUCAAAUGCAGAGAGAGUAAUUUCCCCAUGGGGAUCAAUAAAGUGUACAUUAUUAUAAUUAAUAAAGGCCUGUGUGGACACACCCACACUGUAAGUAUUUGCUGUCUUUUUCUUUUUUUUAAAGAAAAUCUUUAACUUACAUCAAAAGUCCUGCAAUAACACAUCAACCACGUGUCACGGGAGGUUGCUAAAGCUCCAUGUUUGAUUUGGCAGUUUUAAACUAAAUACCCAUCCUGACACAAUCCCAGAGAGGUUUAGUGUCUAUAGCUGGAAUCAAACCAGCAACCUUUCACUUGCCAAGCAUGAAGCCACAUUUAUAUUAAGUUAUAAGCAAAACAAAAUAAUUUUAUCACAUGCCAUUUAAUUAUUUUGCAAACAGCAUCUGUCUACAAAGAAAGGUGCUCUGAUGCUUCCAGUCAGCAGAACGGACCAAUCAAGUUUCUGAAACCAACCAGAGGAAAUAAAGUUCCUCAUAUGUUCCUGUUACUACAUCUACACAGAGACAACAAGCUGAGAGCAGAGGGUGGAGGAGUAGACAGUUAAAAGUGACACAGACGUCUGAAUAAAAGAGGCUCCGUACCUCUGACUGACUGGAAUCGUGACAAAUGUUUGUGUGGGUGUGUGCAUCUAUUCUGUGUGUUUACUCUGUUGUAUUUCCUCAUUGCUUCAGCUCAUCAUCAUCAUCACCACAUAGUCAUUGUGAGUCUCCUUCAUGAUGAAGAGCAUUCUCAUGGGCCUGUUGUGGAUGUUUGCUUCUUGGUGUGAUCAGCCAUUGUUAGAGAUCAACAAACAUCAACAUCAUCCUGCACUAACAGUAGUAAAGGCUGCAGCCAUUGGACUGGUGGACAGUUCUAAGUGUUUGAUGGUUGUUUUUGAUUAGUUUCUGUCCUUUGAGUCACACUUUGAUGCUACAGUGAAAAAGGUCCAACAGUGACUGUACUUUUUAAAAGAGGUUUUAAUGUUUCAUCUGAAAUGAUCCUUUUAAAUAAAAUUUCUAUUGAAUCUGUUUUAAUGUUUUGCAUCAUUGCUUUGCAUGGUAAUUUGUCUUUGACCAAUAAGACCAGACUUAGUAAACUGGUUAAAGUGGCUGGUCAGUUUUCAGGGAGGACUCAGGUUCAGUUUGUGGGCUUUUAUAACAGGCAGGUGCUGAGGAAGGUGACCUGUGUUAUUAUAUGUUCAGACCAUCCUCUCUUUAAUGAUUUGCAGCUGCUUCCCUCAGGUCGUCUGCAGUGAAGACCAAGAGACAUCAAGAGUCGUUUAUACCUGCUGCUGUUUUCAUGAUCAAUAACUCUGAACCAGUAGCGGUUUUAGAUACGGGCGACACAGGCGGUUGCCCGGGGCGGCAUCGUGGUGGGGCGGCAUCACGGGCAUCGGCAAAAAAAAAAUUUGCUUGUACUCAUGCUGCCCCGACAUCAUGCCAGCGCAUAUUGGGAAUGUCGUAGGCACCGAUCGGUUUUCUAUCACCCAUUUGCUGGGAGUAAGGGCGCCCUCCGUUUGCGAGGUGCGCCUGCUGCUUGCCAAACAGGGAGGAGAGGGCGGGGCGGCGGGGGAUUCUCUGGCUGGCUGGAGCAGCAUCUAAUAACCAACUCGCAAAAUAAAACAAAAUAAAAACAAACCAACAAACACGAAAACACCAGACAUCAUGAUACAGACUUAUAAUUUGCACCGACGUUUUUUCAAAAUUCUAUACGCGGAAAGUGAGCGCGAGAGCCCUCGGUGCGCCUGCUCGCUGCUGAAGUCAAAGUAAACUUUAUUGUCAUCUCCGCUACAUACAGUCCAGUAUAGAGAGAGACGAGACGACGAGGCUCCAGUUACAGCAGUGCAAGGAAACAAACAAUAAAUAUUUAAGAGUAAAAAACUAAAUAUACACUUUAGGACUCGGGGUAAAGGGAUCAAUAACAAUUUAAAAUGUAUAUUUUAUAUUUUGUUGAUUUAAAGUCUCACACACAACCCGUUUUUAAAGUUUAAAAAAAGAGAGAAAAGAAGAGGAGUGUAGCGAUUUCCACAGUCGCUAGAGGCCAGGGAUUGAGCCUAUUUGCCUGACGCGCUGUCAACUUUACGCAAUAAUGCGAGAGGUGGAAUUGCUUGCUUGUUUAUUAAAGUGCUUGAAAAGUUUACAGAGCAAUGUGAUCGGCUCGCGAUUCAAACUCUUAAAACAUCACAGGCUCUAAUGCAAGAAGGGGAAACUCGUUGUGCUGCGGUCAACAAAAACUACAGCUACCCAGCCCUGCUCUCUGUCAAAAUCAAACCAGUGAAUGACAGACUGACAACGCCCUCUUAAUUUCACCGCUAGCACCCACGUGACUCCCGUUACACAUCAGCAUAGCAACCAAACAAAUGAAAACCCAGUGAUCAUUAAAAUUCAAUACAUUUAAUUAUGGCUGCUAGAAGGAGAAACGAGCAAAAGAUACAGGUAAGCAGAUGUGUCAUUGGAUAAUGGCAGGUCAUGUAUCCUAAAACAUUAAGAAUCAGAAUACUUUCUUAAUCCCUAAGGAAAUAAUGUGGGUUACAGUUCCUCCAAGAAGAAAUGGUAAAAAUAGUAACAGUAACAGACUAAACUCCAAACAAUAUAUACAAUAAUAUAAUAUUAAUUAGUCAUUGUCAAUUGUUGAUUUGUCCUGUUCUCAUUGUAUGACGAAUUAUGAUGUCUGUUUAGUAGCCGUUUGCAUACAUGUGUGUGUGUGCGUGUGUGUGUGUGUGUGUGUGGGGGGGGGGGGGGGGGGGGGGCACCAGAGGGGGUGUUCGCCCAGGGCGCCAAACAGGCUAGGACCGCCACUGUUCUGAACUGUAAGUGUUGUUGCCAUCUACAAGAUUUUGUUGAUGCUACUGAUGAAAUUUGGACUGUUCUCUUUUGUUUCUUAGUUUUCUUGUGUUGUAUGAUGUGUGGACACUGCAAACUAGUCUAAAAGAUGCAAAAUUGUGAAUUCACCAUCAGGAUUAAAACCUUCUGGGUUUGUUUGAAGUCACGACCCUUUCAGCUUGUUCGUGGCCAAACGUUUCCAACAACACAUUAGGUCUGUUUGUAUUAUUUAUUUAUUUAUUUUUUUAAAUGUUUCUGCAUAAAGUUUUUAACUAACAUCAGUUCUUUUCAUAAAUACAAAAUAGUCAUAAGUUUUUACAUUUUUAACCCUUUAAAUAUCAGUUUGUUUGUACAAUGCAGUUGUUCGAAAACAACCUCAAAACUCACAUUUUGUUAUAUUUGCAGUGCUACUGGAAUUUUUUUGUAUUAUUAAUAGUACAGUCUGAGACAUGUAAUUGAUUCACAACAACAUUGAUUAUUAUGCAAUGUUAUUUCGGUGCAGGGAGAGAAAAAACAUAAAAACUACCCCUCAGCUUGUUCGUGGCCAAAAAUGGCCACCCCCUGUUUAUGUUUGCAAAAUGCUAUGAAAUGUAUAUAUAUUAAAACUAAAUUCCACUUCCAUUGACUUGAUUGUUUAACCCUUGUGUGGUGUUCGUAUUUUUGUUACUCAGCCAAUGUUCGUGGGUCUGGUGGACCCGCUAGAGUUUUGGGUUUCCAAAUUAACACUAUCAAACAAUUUUAUGUUAAAUUACUCGACAUGUGUUUACUUCAUCCUAAUUACAAGC
rnacentral:lncRNA from 1 species